rnacentral:rRNA from 1 species
GAUGAACGCUGGCGGCGUGCCUAAUACAUGCAAGUCGAGCGAACAGAUGAGGAGCUUGCUCCUCUGACGUUAGCGGCGGACGGGUGAGUAACACGUGGAUAACCUACCUAUAAGACUGGGAUAACUUCGGGAAACCGGAGCUAAUACCGGAUAAUAUAUUGAACCGCAUGGUUCAAUAGUGUAAGACGGUUUUGCUGUCACUUAUAGAUGGAUCCGCGCCGCAUUAGCUAGUUGGUAAGGUAACGGCUUACCAAGGCAACGAUGCGUAGCCGACCUGAGAGGGUGAUCGGCCACACUGGAACUGAGACACGGUCCAGACUCCUACGGGAGGCAGCAGUAGGGAAUCUUCCGCAAUGGGCGAAAGCCUGACGGAGCAACGCCGCGUGAGUGAUGAAGGUCUUCGGAUCGUAAAACUCUGUUAUUAGGGAAGAACAAAUGUGUAAGUAACUAUGCACGUCUUGACGGUACCUAAUCAGAAAGCCGCGGCUAACUACGUG